rnacentral:lncRNA from 10 species
GCCAGGCCCAGGCCCCCAGCGCUCCCCCUUCCGCUCCGAGCGGGAGGGGCUAGCGAGCAUGCGCAAUAAGGUACGUUCGCCUGCCUGGGCUCCGAUCCUGAAGUUGGUGAAAUCCACUGCGGGUUUUCCAGGAGUGUAGAGGCGGAGAAGUCUAUCCGAGCUUCCAGUUCUGCUUCUGAAGCUGGAAGGGGCUUUUCGGUUGUAACCCUUGGUAACAAUGCCUGGAUUUUAUUCAGAUGCUGUGUACCCAGCCAAAAGACUACAUUUCUCAAUCUCCAUUGUAGCUGGAUGUGGCUGUGUGAUCAAGUUAUGACCAAUGAGAUAUAAGUAGAAGUAGCUUGGCCAGACACAGUGGCUCACACCUGUAAUCCCAGCCCUUUGGGAGGCCAAAGCAGGAGGAUCACUUGCACUCAGGAGUUGGAAACUGCAGACCAGCCUGGAGAACACAGUGACACCUUGUCUCUACACAAAAUGAAAAAGUUAGCAGGGUAUGGUGGCAUGUGCCUGUGGUCCCAGCUACUUCCAGCUACUUGGGAGGCUAAAAUGGAAGGAUCGCUUGAGCCUGGGAGAUUGAGGCCUCAGUGAGCCAUGAUCAUGCCACUGUACUCCAGCCUGGGUGACAAGAGCAAGACCCUGUCUCUCAAAAAAAAAAAAACGCGGCUGGGUGGAACAUCUGGAAAACAUCUUUAAAGAACGCUGACUCAAUCAGGAGGAGCACCAUUUUGUUUCUUGCCCUCUGCCCUUCCUGCCUGAAACAGGUAAGGUGACUACUGCUCUUUGGCCAUUAUGGGUGACAAACUGAACUUGAGACUGGAAGCCAUGUCCUAUAAAAGAUAAAUAGGGCCAGGCGCGGUGGCUCACGCCUCUAAUCCCAGCACUUUGGGAGGCCGAGAUGAGUGGAUCACGAGGUCAGGAGAUCGAGACCAUCCUGGCUAACACGGUGUAAACCUCGUCUCUAUUAAAAAUAACAAAAAAAUUAGCCGGG